rnacentral:tRNA from 1 species
GGGCCCGUAGCUCAGAUGGAUAGAGCGUCUCCCUCCGGAGGAGAAGGUCGCGAGUUCGAAUCCCACCGGGCUCA